AGUGUGACCAAGUUUAUAACAAUAAGAACACUUGGGUCUAGAUCUUCCAAAACGACCUCCUCCUCGUCUAUACUCCAUAGUAUGAGAAGCCCGAUUGUCUACGGAUUGGAAGACGAGGAUAGAUGAAUCAAGUGUCUGUGAUGAGCUUAUUGGGUGACUUGGUGCUGCAGCAAGGCGAAGUAAGCAAGAAAAUAAUUCAUCAACGGUGGGGACAGUCGGACUAGCCAAAAUCUGAUCGCGUACUG
rnacentral:lncRNA from 1 species